AGAAGGUUCUGUAUGGCUCUGGGCAGCUUCAGGGAGCCGCACAGGACUGGUGGGAUUCAUAUUGCUUUGCACAUCAAGACCCGGAUACUAUCACUUGGGAUGAGUUCAAGGUCGCCUUCAAGACUCAUCAUGUGCCUGCUGGAUUGGUGAAGCUGAAGAAGAAGGAGUUUCUGUCUCUGAAGCAGGGCUCCAUGACAGUUUGUGAGUACCGUGACAAGUUCACUCAAUUGUCGCGGUAUUGCCCCAAUGAAGUGGAGAAUGAUGAAGACAAGCAAGACCACUUUCUGGAAGGUUUGAAUGAUGGUCUGUCCUACAUGAUGUCGAAUGUCAAGUAUGCCAGUUUCCAGGAGAUGGUGGACAGGGCAUUGGUGCUUGAGAGCAAGCGCCGCAAGAUGGAAGACAAGAAGAGGAAGUAUAAUUCCUCUCAGCAGCAGGCUGGUGCCAGUCGUCCCCGUUACAACAACCAGCAGGGCCCUCAGUCUCGCCCUGCAUAUCAGUCAGGCAACCAAGGACAGCAACAGAACGUCAGGUACAGCAACCAGGGUCAGCAGACGAGCCAGCGCUACAACAACAACCAAGUGCAGCGCCCCGCUAGUCAGGCGCCUCGCCAGAAUGCCCCAGCACCAUCAGGCUCUCGCCAGAACUCCAACACUGUCCCAAUGAAACCCAAUGUCAACCCCGCCCCCACUGGAAAUACCUGCUUCAAGUGUGGUCAGCUUGGACACUACGCGAAUGCUUGCCCCCAGAGGCAGAAGAAUAACAACAACAAUGGAAGGGUGAAUCAUGUGAAGCUGGAAACUGCUGAGGAGGCUCCAGAUGUGGUAGUUGGUAUGUUUCUUGUCAACUCUUGCCCAGCUACUGUUUUGUUUGAUACUGGAGCAUCGCAUACUUUUAUAAGUGCACAGUUUGUUGAGAAACAUAGUAUAGCCACCUGUACCAUGCAAAACACCAUGCUAGUUAAAUCACCUGGGGGAAAGAUGCAUACUAAUACUUUGUGUCCGGGAAUGAGCAUUAAAAUAAGGGGGGUAGAUUUUCCUGUCAAUCCUAUUGUGUUGGGUUCAGAAGGUUUAGAUAUGAUAUUGGGAAUGAGAUGGUUGUCCAAGUUUAAGGGUACUAUUCAGUGUGCUGAGAAGACAGUGGCUCUAACCGCACCUAGUGGGAACAGAAUUGAGGUCAGAGUUUCUAUGUCACCUAGUAGCGAAGGAACAGUUUACCAUCUGAGCAGUGGGUCAGUAGAAGAUAUUCGAGUGGUGAAAGAGUUCCCUGAUGUGUUCCCAGAGGAUUUGCCAGGUAUGCCACCUGAACGUGAGAUUGAAUUUGUUAUUGAUUUAUUACCUGGUACUGCACCCAUAUCUAAGAGACCUUAUAGAAUGGCUGUUAAUGAGUUAGAAGAACUUAAGAAACAACUAAGGGAGUUACAGUCUAAGGGGUAUAUCCGUCCUAGUUCCUCACCUUGGGGAGCUCCAGUUAUCUUUGUAGAGAAGAAGGAUGGGACACAGAGGAUGUGUGUAGACUAUAGAUCUUUGAAUGAGGUCACCAUUAAGAAUAAAUACCCUUUGCCUAGAAUAGAGGACUUGUUUGACCAGUUGAAAGGAGCUUGUGUGUUUUCCAAAAUAGAUCUGAGGUCAGGUUAUCACCAGUUGAGGAUUAAACCUAAUGAUAUUCCAAAGACUGCGUUCACCACCAGAUAUGGACUCUAUGAAUAUACAGUUAUGUCUUUUGGAUUGACGAAUGCUCCAGCGUACUUUAUGUAUCUGAUGAAUAAAGUUUUUAUGGAGUAUUUGGAUAAGUUUGUGGUAGUCUUUAUUGAUGAUAUCUUGAUCUACUCCAAGACUGAGGAAGAACAUGAGGAUCACCUGAGGCUUGUGUUGCAGAAAUUGAGGGAACAUCAGCUCUAUGCCAAGCUGAGUAAGUGUGACUUCUGGUUGAAGGAAGUGUCUUUUCUUGGUCAUGUCAUUUCAAAUGGUGGAGUUGCUGUCAGUCCGAAGAAUGUGGCAGAUGUUCUUAAGUGGAGUCCGCCUCAGACUGUUGGAGAGAUCAGAAGUUUUCUUGGAAUGGCCGGUUACUAUCGGAGAUUCAUUGAAGGGUUUUCCAGUAUUGCCAAGCCCAUGACUGCUUUGUUAGAGAAGGGUAAGCCAUUCAAGUGGAAUGAACAGUGUCAGGCUAGUUUUGAGGAGUUGAAGAAGAGGUUGACUACUGCACCAAUUUUGACUUUGCCAGAUGUGACUAAAAGCUUUUCUAUCUAUUGUGAUGCUUCCAAGCAAGGUUUGGGAUGUGUACUGAUGCAAGAGGGAAAGGUGAUUGCCUAUGCAUCUAGGCAGUUGAAGAAACAUGAGGUGAAUUAUCCAACUCAUGACCUUGAGUUAGCAGCUGUGGUACAUUCACUAAAGAUCUGGAGACACUAUAUUCUGGGUCAUAAGUGUGAUAUCUACACGGAUCACAAGAGUCUGAAAUACAUCUUCACUCAGAAUGAUUUGAACCUGAGACAGAGAAGAUGGUUAGAGUUGAUCAAGGACUAUGAACUGGAGAUUCAUUACCACCCUGGCAAGGCUAAUGUAGUUGCUGAUGCUCUGAGUAGAAAGAGUCAAGUGAAUAUGUUGGAGGCCACAGAGUUACCGAUAGAACUACUGGCAGAAUUUGAGUAUCUCAAUUUGGGAUUUGUUGCUAAUACCCAAGGUACUUCCAUGGACAUAGAACCAACUCUUGAGCAAGAGAUCAGAAAAGGUCAGAAAGAGGAUGAAGAAAUCAAAAAGAUACUUAGGCUGAUAGAGGAAGGAAGAGCACCUGGAUUCAAAGUUGAUCAAGAAGGGAUUGUUUGGCACAAGGACCGAUUGUGUGUGCCUGAUAUUCAGAGAAUCAAGGAUGUGAUACUGAAGGAAUGCCAUGAAUCUGCUUACUCUAUUCAUCCAGGAGGUACUAAGAUGUAUCAGGACUUGAAGCAAAACUAUUGGUGGCCUGGUAUGAAGAAAGAUAUUGGUGAAUAUGUGGCAUUGUGUGACACCUGUCAGAGAGUGAAAGCGGAACAUCAGAGGCCAGCAGGGUUGUUGCAACCGUUGAAGAUACCUGAGUGGAAGUGGGAUGAGAUCAGCAUGGACUUCAUAGUGGGAUUGCCGAAAACUCAACGAGGUUAUGACUCAAUAUGGGUUGUAGUAGAUCGAUUGACCAAGGUAGCUCAUUUCAUACCGGUCAGAACUAACUACCGUGGAGAUCAGUUAGCAGAAAAGUAUAUGGAACGGAUUGUGUGUCUGCAUGGAGUUCCUAAGAGGAUUGUGUCUGAUAGAGGUACACAGUUUACAUCAAAGUUUUGGGAGAAGCUACAUGAUGCUUUGGGAACCGAGCUCAGAUUCAGUACUGCUUAUCACCCUCAGUCCGAUGGUCAGACAGAGAGAGUCAACCAGAUAGUAGAGGAUAUGCUCAGGUCUUGUGCUUUGCAGUAUGGGGAUAGUUGGGAUGCUAGUUUGCCCUACGCUGAGUUCUCCUAUAACAACAGUUAUCAGACUAGUCUUAAGAUGACUCCUUUCGAAGCCUUGUAUGGAAGGAAGUGUAGGACUCCAUUGUUCUGGAACCAGACUGGUGAAAGGCAAGUGUUCGGCCCUGAUUCAUUGAGAAUAGCCGAAGAAAGAGUUCAGUUCAUCCGACAGACUCUGAAGGCAGCUCAGUCUAGACAGAAGAGUUAUGCCGAUGUGAGACGAAGGGAACUUGUAUUUCAGGCAGGUGAUUAUGUAUACCUGAAAGUGUCUCCGAUGAGAGGUCUAAAGAGGUUCAAUGUCAAGGGAAAGCUAGCUCCAAGAUACGUUGGUCCUUUCAAGAUCUUGGAAAGAAAAGGAGAAGUGGCUUAUGAGCUUGAAUUGCCUGCCAGCUUAUCCAAUGUGCACAAUGUUUUCCAUGUCUCCCAAUUCAAGAAAUGUUUGAGAGUGCCUGAGGAACAGUUGCCACUAGAGGAACUGGAUUUACAGGAUGAUCUAACUUAUGAAGAGAGUCCUAUCAAAGUCCUGGACACAGCAGAGAGAAUUACUAGGAGUAAAACUAUCAGGAUGUGUAAAGUACAAUGGAGACACCAUUCCGAGGAAGAAGCAACCUGGGAAAGAGAAGAAGAUCUAAUAUCCAAAUACCCUCAGUUAUUCCCUGGUUCAUCCUAAUCUCGAGGACGAGAUUCCUUUAAGGGGGGUAGGUUUAUAACACUCCAAAUUUUUGAAUUUCAAAUUCAGUUCAAAUUUGAUUUAAUUUUGGCAUAGUUUGAAUUUUUAGAGAAUUAUUAAAUAAUUUACAAAAUUAAAUAAAAUUAAAUAUAAGGUAGAAAACUUGUUCGUGUGCAUUCAUGCCGCUGCAUUUAUUUUGUUUGAUUUGUUUGCUUGUGCUUGAAUUAUUUUGUUGGAAGAAAGAAAUAAAUAGGAGAAAUCGGUUUUAAAAAAAAAAAAAAUAAAAGAAAAAAAAAAAAGCUUUUCCCCUCUCCCUGGGCCGGCCUUCCCUCGGCCCAGCGCCCGCGCCUCUCUCCCGCAGCGCCCGAGUGGGCCGCGGCCCAGCCGCGCAGCGGCCGCGCCCCGCGCGCACCCGCGCUGCCCCCGCCCGCAGCCGCUGACGCGUGGGCCCCGCAGGUGGGACCCACCGUCGUCUUCAACCUCCGUCCGAUUCGGACGGGGUGCGCAACCGCCGCGCCGCCUCCUUCUCGGCUUCCGUGCCGCGCGUGGAUCGAGAACCCCGGGACCACCCUAGCCUAUUUAAGGCACCCCUCGGCCGCCCGCACGCGCCCCUAAACCCUAGCCUCGAAACCCGCGCCGCCGCCGUUCUUGCCGAAGCUCGCAGCGCCGCCGACAAGCUUCUCUUCGCCGUCGUCAACUCGCGAAGGUAUGCACGCCAUCGCGUUCGUCGCGUCGAGCCGCGCCCGCCCGUACCCUCGGCUCGGCUGGCCGUGCCCUGCAGCGCCGCCGCUGCAAGCUCGCCGCGGCCGGCCAUGGCGCCGCCGCCUGCGUCCGCUCCCGCUCCGGCGCGCGGUCCACCGUGGACCGCGGCCCAGCGCCCCCGUGCGGCCGGUCCACGUGGACUCGGUCCACGCAGCCAGCACCGCCCCGCGCCCCGGUCCCGGUCCACGGUGGACCGGUGGACCGCCACACCCCCCCCGGUCCACAGCGCCGCCAUGGACCGGGCCAGCCGCGAGCUGCCACGUGGCCAGGCCGGCCACGGUCCCGCGCGCCCCCUGCUGCUUUUGCAGAAAAGCCCUCGGGCUUGUUCAAAAUUAACCCGCAGUCCAGUUCUUUUAAAAAUAUUUAAGUUUAUGCCCUUAGUUUUCGCAGUUUAACCCCUGGUUCGGUUAGAAUUUAUAUAUUUAAUCCAAAAUGAGUUUUAAUUCAGUUUUAAUUAGUUUUAAUUACGAAAAAUAGUUCAGUUUAUCUACAGAAAUGCCAUUUAACUUGUUUUAGCCAUAACUUUUGCGUCGUAACUCCGAUUUAGGUGAUUCUGGUCGCUAUAGUUUCAUUUCGUCGAGUAGAAUGCAGUAGGGCAGUUGCUUUCUGUUUUCGCAUGCUUUGGUGUACUGUUUCUGAUUAAGUUUGUUUGCUUGCAUGUAUUGUUCCUAUGAUUGAUGAUUGUCGCGUAUAGCCAACGAGACGUUCGUGGAGGAAGAGGUUCAGGAUCCCGCGGAGUUCGAGCAACCCGACUUCGACCAAGGCAAGUGCAGACACCGUUUGAUCAUUUUGAACCUACUCAUUAAUGUCGUUUACUUUAUAUGCAUGUGUCCAAUGAAUGCAAACCCUAAGGACAUGACUAGCUUUACUUAUUAUUCCUUGCUCACCUGGGGUUAUGUAUUUGGGUUGACUAGGCUAUACUAGGUCUGCUUAGCUGCUCUACUCAUCUUAUACACAUGUCUAAACAAGAAUUACUCUCUACUUAACUUGAUGCUUAAACUGUGCUGAAUCUUUGGUCACUGCGGUGAUGGCGAUGUUGGAUGCUUGCGAGCAUCGUGAUGAUGGUGGUGACAGGGGGAGCGGGUACCGUUGAUGGUCCGGAUUGCCGGGCGUACCCGUCUCUGCUCUCCGUAAGGACUUAGUCAGGGAGCGGCCCCCUGGGACUUACAGUGCAGCUCCAAGCUAUAUGGCUCUGGCUUGACUAAUUAGCAGGACCUCCACUAGUAGGGUGUUACUUUCCGGGUAGGCGUGAGGAAGUAACUUGGGUAAUGAAUAUUAAGUUGUCGGUUGAUCGGUACGCCAUGGCUAUGGGUAUCGACUGCCGAGCGCCCCGGCAAAAACUUGCGAGUGGCAUCCUAUUAGUUGGACCCUGUGAAAGGUCUCGUAGUGAGACCCCGCCUGCUCACCUUGGAAGUGUUUUGGGGAGUCGCGACCCCGGGCAAAUGGGAAUCACGACUUGGAGUGAACGUGCACACCUCUGCAGAGUGUAAAACUGAUAUAUCAGCCGUGCUCACGGUCACGAGCGGCCCAGACCCUCACUUGAUGAGCAAAUUGGAUUCACUGGUUACUUGGAGAUGGACCUUGGCGAGAUUGCUACCUCGUGUUUUGGCGGAAUGGCUAUUCCGUGAUGGCAGGAUUGCUAUCCUGUGUUAAUAAUUGGGGUUAAUCCCUGGAUCACUAUAAUAAUUAGGAUAGUCUUUUGAAAAGAUGCUAAUUACUACCUACACUAAUUAAGGGUUGGGUUUAUGCUACUCAUAUUAGUAAUAGGUUGUUUUAGUAAUUGUUAUAAUUAAAAGUGAUCAACUAAAAUGCUACCGCAGUCAAACCAAGUCAGCUUUACCUUGUUUUAAGCCUUGCAUGUCAUUACUUUCCGUCUGUGCUUGCUGAGUUCGGCAUGAGCUCACCCUUGCUAUAAUCAUUAAAGGUUGCUCGGACGAUCAGGAGCACAAUUGCGAUUUCCCUGAGGACUACCCUGAGUCUCCUGGUUGUUAGGCUCGUGUGGUUCUACCGUCGACCUUCCUGUGGCAAGGUGGUCCUGCUACGUCGGCGUUUAGUUUUCCCUUUAUUUAUGGAACAGAUUAGUUUAUGUUUCCCCUCCGCACUUUGAUAAACAUUUGGCUUGUAAUAAUGGUACUUUUACUCUCAUUUAUGUAAUUCGUUUGAACACUGUGUUUUGUACCAUUGAUGAUGUCGGUCCAUGUGUGUGAAUUUGAGAUCCUGGCGCACAUGUGAUUUGGCACCCGAAUGCUCUUUUACAUCCGGGUGUGACAGUUGGAGACCUCGGUGGAGGAGGUGGAGACCGUGGUGGAGGCGGUGGCGGGGUCGGUGUGGCCGCCGCAGGUGUUGGAGGAGAUCCAGCAUUGUCACCGCCCGCAGCACUAUGAUGCGCUGGGGAGAGAACUGGACUUAGGUUGGAGGAGUCCCUGCAAAGAAAACAAUUACAAGUUUUGUGAGUAAACUUUUUUUAAAUUUCAAUACAUAAUAAAUAAUAUAAGAAGUAAAAUCACACACAAACCUAUGCUGAGGAAUAAUUAUGAAGCGCUUGCGCCAACAAAUAAAUGUCUUCUCAGCUUCACUAGAAUAACAUACUAAAAAGUCUUUUAAGCCAAGUAAUAUACUAGAAUAAUAUACUAAAAUAUAAUACUAAAAAAUAAUACUAUAAUAAUAGUAUAAACUAAUAGUAUAUGUUUUAAGCCAAGUAAUACACUUGCACAUAGAAUAAUGUACUAAAAAAUUCAUACUACUACAAAUUGAUACAAGAAUAAUAUAAGUGCAUAUAUAUACAUAAUAAGAAAUACACUAGAAUAAUAGAAGUGCUAGAGUGCUCCAAACUAAAAAGUAAUACUAAAAAAAUAAUACAGACAAUAACACUAGAAUAAUAUACUAGCACACAAUAUAUUUCAUAAUAAUUCAAAACACUAGCACAAAAUAUAUUUCAUAACAAUUCAAAACACUACAAUUCAUAAUAUACUAGAAUAACAUACUACAAAGUCUUUUAAGCCAAGUAAUAUACUAGAAUAAUAUACUAAAAUAUAAUACUAAAAAAUAAUACUAAAAUAAUAGUAUAUAAACUAAUACACACUUGCACAUAGAAUAAUGUACUAAAAAAUUAAUAAUACUACAAAAUGAUACAAGAAUAAUAUAAGUGCAUAUAUAUACAUAAUAAUACAAAAUAAUAGUAUAUAAACUAUUCGGUAUGAAAUAUAAGUGCAUAUAUAAUGAUACAAAAUAAUAGUACAUAAUUAAGUGCAUAUAAAAUAAUAGUAUAUAUACAUAAUGAUACAAAAUAUAUUAAUAAUAUAAAAUAAUGAUACAAGAACAAAAUGAUACAAGAAUAAUAGUAUAUAUAUAUACAUACAUACACAUAUAUAUAUAUAUAUAUCUUAUAUAUAUAUAUAAGAGAUAUAUAUAUAUAUAUAAACUGUUGGUUGUUGGUAUUCAUAUAUAUAUAUAUAUAUAUAUAUAUAUAUAUAUAUAUAUAUAUAUAUAUAUGUAUAUGUAUAUAUAUAUAUAAACUGUUGGUGUUCAUAUAUAUCUAUACAAUUUAUAUAUACAAUUUUAGUCUAUACAUAUAAACUGUUUUGACAUCCAUCCAUAUAUAUAUAUAUAUAUACACACGAGCGAUCGAUACACAUGAAGAAAUAUACGUAGAUCUGUGGAGAGCCGCUGCAGCGACGCUGGAGACGAACGGCGGCGCUGUAGAUGGCGGCGGCGGCGCUGUAGAUGGCGGCGGCGGCGCUGGAGACGAACGGCGGCGCUGGGAGACGAAUGGGCGGCGCUGGACGACGGCGGCGCGGAGAUCUCUGCUCGACGAAGACGAAGACGAAGGGAACUGCCCAGAUCCAGGGCUCCUGCACACAUUUAUAGGUGCGGACCCUUUAGCACCGGUCCGUGGCUGGAACCGGUGCUAAAGGGUCUUUAACACCGGCUGGUAAAAAGAGCCGGUGUUAAAGGGUCACCCUUUAGCACCGGCUCGUGUUACCAGCCGGUGCUAAAGGGACCCUUUAGCACCGGUUCUAACCACGGACCGGUGCUAAAGUGUCCUAGGCGGGCUCGGGCGGGGUUCUGAAAUUUUCAGGACCCUUUAGCACCGGUUCCCACUAUGGGCCGGUGCUAAAGGCCCAUUUUUUUAGUUUAGGGUUUUUCAAUUGUUUUAUAUAUACAGUUUAUAUUAUAAAUUGUAUAGUAAAUUAAAUAUUUUGCAUAAUGUUUUUUAAAUAGUGACAUAUAUUGUAAUUUGUUUUAAUGUACACAUGAAAAUUUUUAAACUUAAAUAUCUUAUUGUAUUUUUAUAAUUUACAACGAUUUUGUAAGAAAUGUUUAGUAUUUUGUUAAUGCAAAAAUAUAUUAUUCCAAUAAAUUUACAAAAACUAUAUCCAAUGAACUGGAAAUUUAUUUUCACAUCAUAUUGACGUAAAACUUUUUAUUUUUGUUAUUUAUUACUAGGAAUGCUACUUGGGUAUAAUUUUCAUCAAAUAAAAAAUCAUAUAAAAAUAUAUAUCUUGAUGAACACACCCUUUGACCGAACCCUAGAUUGUCCCAAAUGGAAUAGUCAUGAAUACAAAGUUUGCUACACUCAUCAAGUUCUACAUUUUGUCUAAUGGUCAACUUUUCAUUUGGAAAAGUUUGAACCACUGAAUUUUGAAUUUUCAUGGAACUCAUAGCCACGCAGCGGUUUCGGAACCCUACAUGGUCUCGAAUGGAAAAGUCAUGAAUACCAAUAUUGUUCCACUCAUCAAAAUCUACAUUUCAUAUAUAGACCAUUUUUGCAUUUGACAAAGUUUUGGGAAGGUGUAGUUGAAAAUCCACAAUUGACACAUAUAGUUUCAUAUAGUUUGUGUGAGAACUUAGAAUUGGUGGGUAUUGUUAACUUAGAUUUUCUCAAAUGGAAAAGUUGUGUAUAUAAAAAGUUUAGAUCUUGAAGAUAUCUAACAACUUGGUAUUCAAAAUAUUUUCAUUUGAAGUAAUUUAGUUUGUCAUUUGACCAAGUUUGACCGAAACCCGUCUUGGAUUUUAUAGAAAUGUAACUAGAAUUGGCUCAAAAUUAUCCAAAUGGAAAAAUGGACAAUAUAUAAAAUAUAGAUUUUGAUGAUCUCUAACAACUUUGUAUUCAAACUUUUUUCAUUUCAAGUCAUCAAAUGGGCUAUUUGACCAAAGUCAAAGCAUUGGUUUUUACAAACACACCCUUUGACCGAACCCUAGAUUGUCCCAAAUGGAACAGUCAUGAAUACAAAGUUUGCUACACUCAUCAAGUUCUACAUUUUGUCUAAUGGUCAACUUUUCAUUUGGAAAAGUUUGAACCACUGAAUUUUGAAUUUUCAUGGAACUCAUAGCCACGCAGCGGUUUCGGAACCCUACAUGGUCUCGAAUGGAAAAGUCAUGAAUACCAAUAUUGUUCCACUCAUCAAAAUCUACAUUUCAUAUAUAGACCAUUUUUGCAUUUGACAAAGUUUUGGGAAGGUGUAGUUGAAAAUCCACAAUUGACACAUAUAGUUUCAUAUAGUUUGUGUGAGAACUUAGAAUUGGUGGGUAUUGUUAACUUAGAUUUUCUCAAAUGGAAAAGUUGUGUAUAUAAAAAGUUUAGAUCUUGAAGAUAUCUAACAACUUGGUAUUCAAAAUAUUUUCAUUUGAAGUAAUUUAGUUUGUCAUUUGACCAAGUUUGACUGAAACCCGUCUUGGAUUUUAUAGAAAUGUAACUAGAAUUGGCUCAAAAUUAUCCAAAUGGAAAAAUGGACAAUAUAUAAAAUAUAGAUUUUGAUGAUCUCUAACAACUUUGUAUUCAAACUUUUUUCAUUUCAAGUCAUCAAAUGGGCUAUUUGACCAAGUUUGACCAAAGUCAAAGCAUUGGUUUUUACAAACACACCCUUUGACCGAACCCUAGAUUGUCCCAAAUGGAACAGUCAAGCCGACACAACAGUGAACUUCUUCUUGACGUAUGACCCUUGGUUAUGAUCCUGCCGUAACCAUGGAGUAUCCUCAUUGUUUAACAGAAUGCUUGGGUCUUUGUUGACUAUGAAGGGCGGAAUUCGAUCAUCCCUUUCGUAAUCGCCUGACAUGUCUGACUUGUCCUCAAUUCCGACAAUGUUUCUUUUCCCAGAAAGGACAAUGUGGCGCUUUGGCUCAUUGAUGAUUGAGUGGUCAUCAUUUUUUCCUCUCUUUGGUUUCGUAGACAUAUCUUUGACAUAGAACACCUGACUCACGUCUGCAGCAAGGACGAAUGGUUCGUCUUUGAACCCACUAUUGUUAAGGUCCACGGUUGUCAUCCCAUACUCCUUGUCGACUGUUACCCCACCUCCGGUCAUCUUCACCCAUUGGCACCGGAACAAAGGAACUUUAAAAUUAGCUGCAUAGACUAGUUCCCAUAUGUCUUCUAUGCGUCCAUAAUAUGUUUGCCUGUUCCCAUUUGGAUCCGUGGCAUCCACGCGUACACCACUAUUUUGGUUGGUGCUCCUUUUAUCUUGGCCAACUGUGUAAAAUGUGUUACCAUUUAUCUCGUACCCUUUGUAUGUGAGGACAUGCCAUGAUGGUUGCCUGGCCAACAAAUAAAGCUGCUCAUCAAUGUUUUCAUCACCUUGACAUUUUUUGCGCAACCAAUCGCCAAAAGUUUCCAUGUGCUGACGCAUUAUCCAAGCUUCAUUCUUCCCGGGCCACUGGGACCGUAGGUAAUCUUUGUGUACCUCAACAUAUGGUUCCACCAAUGAGGAGUUCUGGAGAACUGUGUAGUGUGCUUUAUUGAAGUAAUCGUUUCCCGUACCAAUAUAUGUUUUCUUCCCAAGUGUUCCCUUUCCGCUGAGUCUGCCCUCGUGUCGAGAUUCAGGAAUGCCAAUUGGGUCAAGGUCUGGAAUAAAGUCAACACAGAACUCUAUGACCUCCUCUGUUCCGUAGCCCUUGGCAAUGCUUCCUUCUGGCCGGGAACGACUAUGGACAUAUUUCUUUAGGACACCCAUGAAUCUCUCGAAGGGGAACAUGUUGUGUAGGAACACAGGACCGAGAAUACGAAUCUCUUUGACCAGAUGAACUAGGAGGUGUGUCAUGAUAUCGAAGAAGGAUGGAGGGAACACCAACUCAAAGCUGACGAGACAUUGAACGACAUCAUUCUGCAGAGUAGCUAGUUGCUCUGGAUUGAUUGCCUUCUGAGAAAUUGCAUUAAGGAAUGCACAUAGCUUUACGGUGGCUAGACGUACGUGUGGAGGUAGAAUUCCUCUUAAAACGACCGGCAGCAAUUGCGUCAUUAGAACGUGACAGUCAUGGGACUUCAAGUUCAGGAAUUUCUUCUCUGGCACAUUAAUUAUUUCCUUGAUAUUGGAGAAGAAUCCAGAUGGGACCUUGAUGCUGCUAAGACAUUCAAACAUGCUUUCCUUCUCUUCUUUGCUCAGAGUGUAGCUAGCAGGGCUUAAGUAAUGACGUCCAUCAUCUGUCUUUUCUGGAUGCAGGUUGUCUCGUUCUUUCAUGCGCUGCAAGUCUUGUCGUGCUUCAAGUGAAUCCUUAGACUUCCCGUAGACACCCAUGAAUCCGAGCAAGUUCACACAAAGAUUCUUUGUCAGGUGCAUCACGUCGAUCGUGUUGCGGACCUCUAGGACAUUCCAGUAAGGUAGCUCCCAAAAUAUGCAUUUCUUCUUCCACAUGGGUACGUGUCCCUUAGCAUCCUUGGGAAUAGGUUCGCUGCCUCGUCCCUUUCCAAAUACCACUUUUAUAUCCUUGACCAUUUCGAGUACAUCAUCCCCGGUUCGAUUGAGAGGUUUGGUCCGGUGGUCUGCCUUGCCUUUAAAAUGCUUGCCUUUCUUUCGUACUGGGUGGUUCACAGGAAGAAACCGACGGUGGCCAAGGUACACGACCUUUCGACAUUUUUUCAAAAAUACACAGUCAAGGUCUUCAUAACAAUGUGUGCAUGCAUUAUAUCCCUUGUUUGACUGGCCUGAAAGAUUACUCAGAGCUGGCCAAUCAUUGAUUGUUACAAACAGCAAUGCUCGUAGGUCAAAGUGCUCUUGUUUGUACUCAUCCCACACGCGAACUCCUGGUUUGCUCCAUAAAAGUUGUAGUUCCUCAACUAAUGGCCUAAGGUAGACAUCUAUGUCAUUGCCAGGUUGCUUCGGUCCUUGGAUAAGCACCGGCAUCAUAAUAAACUUCCGCUUCAUGCAUAGCCAUGGAGGAAGGUUGUAGAUACAUAGAGUAACUGGCCAAGUGCUGUGACUACUGCUCUGCUCACCGAAAGGAUUCAUACCAUCUGUACUUAAGGCGAACCGCAAGUUUCUAGCAUCAUUUGCAAAAUCUGAGAAUUCUCUGUCUAUCGCUCUCCACUGGGAUCCAUCGGCAGGGUGUCUCAGCAUAUUGUCUAUCUUACGGUCUUCUUUAUGCCACCGCAACAACUUUGCAUUGUCCUUAUUUCUGAACAGACGUUUUAAUCGUGGUAUUAUAGGAGCAUACCACAUAACCUUGGCUGGAAUUUUCUUCCUAUGUCGUUCUUCACCCUCAACAUCGCCAGGAUCAUCUCGUCUAAUCUUAUACCGUGAUGCCUUACAUACUGGACAUGCAUCCAAAUUCUCGUAUUCCUCCCCACGGUAGAGGAUGCAGUCAUUAGGACAUGCGUGUAUCUUCUGGAUUUCUAAUCCCAAAGGGCAGACAACCUGUUUUGCUUCAUACGUAGUGGUGGGCAAUUCGUUGCCUUUCGGAAGCAUCUUUUUUAUGAUCUUCAAUAACUGCCCAAAUGCCUUGUCAGAUGUACCAUUCUUUGCCUUCCAUUGCAGCAAUUCUAGUGUGGUACCCAGCUUUUUUUGCCCCUCUUCAGCGGUGGGAUAUAGCGAUUUCCUGUGGUCCUCUAGCAUGCGCUCGAACUUGGCUUUCUCUUUAUCACUUUCACAUUCUCUUUGUGCAUCACGGAUGGCAUCACCAAAAGCAUCAUCGCCCCGAUCAUCUUCUGCCGCCACCUCUUCUUCAUUAUCUCCCCCCAUUGCAACAUCAUUGAAGCCACCGUACUGAGCAAUAAUAUUGGCAUGGUCCAAUUCUUCUUCUUCUUCUUCUUCUUCUUCACCUUCAUCCAUUAUAAUCCCGCUUUCUCCAUGUUUGGUCCAACAAAUAUAGUUUGGUACGAAACCAGACUUUAAUAAGUGUGAAUGAAGAGUUCUUGAGUUAGAAUAUUCCGUCAAAUUCUUGCACACGGCACAUGGACAGCACAUGAAACCGUCCCUCUUAUUUGACUCGGCCACACUUAAGAAAUAGUGCACGCCAUUAAUGAACUCUUCGGAGCGCCGAUCGGCAUUAUACAUCCAAUUACGUGUUACCAUCUGCAUUAAAGAUAACAUAUAUAUUAUGAAAACCAUGCACACAUAUAGUUUCUCAUCUUAUUGCACAACAUGUCUAAGAUACAUAGUUGAUUAAUUUAGAAAAACUUGGCUACAACAAAUACAAUCGCAACUAGCAUUAAAAAAAAUAAAACUAAAAUGCACUUAAGCAACAUAAUUAGUUCGCGUCCGAUCCCAACUAUAAUAGAUAGAUCAUUCGCUUGAUCAACUUCAUUGAACUUCUUUCGUCGGCUCACUGCCUCACCACCUUCAGCCUCAACCACCUGUGCAAAAGAUUUCUUAAUGUGUUCAAUGUAUUCUUCCUCCCAGUACCAACCUGUACAUCCGCCGGUACCGUCCCACUGAAAUUAAAAGAGAGAAUCAAAAGUUUAAUUAAUAUCAUUUAAAAAAAUAUGCACAUAUAUAAGCAAAUGUCUGGAAAUAACUCACAUUACGAUCUGGACACUUGUAGAAUAUACGACCCUUGUUUACUCCCUCUUUCGACACUUUGUACUCCAUCAAAAUCUUCUGCCCACACUUGCCACAAGUAAUGAGAGGGAGUUCCGGACGGUAUCGCUUUUGAACCCGUUGAGAGACGGAAGACCCGGUCACGGUUGCCAUCUACUAUCCAUACUCAAUUUUAAAACAAUUAUAAAUUCCACAUUUACUAGUAAACAUGUAUGAUACAAUGGACAUUAUAUGUAGUAAUAAAAAUAAAUCAAGUGAUAUUAACAAACCAAUUAAUUUGAACUAUCCUACUUUCUAUGAUCAUAAAAAUAUACUAUAAUUCAUUCUUGCAAAAUAUAUUAAAACUAGGUCAACCAUGAAAUAUGAUAUAUAUAUAUGGAUACUAAUUCAUGUGAAUGAUUCAAAAUAACAAAGUGGAUUUGAGCUAAAAAUGAUGGGAACAUCACAAGCCAAAAACAACAUGAAAAAGACAAGAAAGGCUGAAGUUAGUCACCUCUAAGCGCGAAGAGACGAUGACGGAGUCGAAGAAGAUCAACGAUGGGCGUUGGAGAUGAAGAACAAAUGAAGAACAAGCAAGAAGAAGCUCCAAGAACAACAAUGGUGCUCUCGGUUUCAAAUGGGCAGAGGGGAGGAGGGAGCCGGCCUAUAAACCGGACCUUUAGCACCGGUUCAGAGCAAAAACCGGUGCUAAAGGGUUACCUUUUAGCACCGGUUUGUAACACAAACCGGUGCUAAAGGGUUUGCCUCGGCCCGUGGCUCUGGCCGGUGCUAAAGGGACCCCUUUAGCACCGGUUCUUGUUACAAACCGGUGCUAAAGGGUCCCUGCCCCGACAGCACAUGUCAGUAGCCGUUGGGCAGGACCCUUUAGCACCGGUUUGUCACACGAACCGGUGCUAAAGGGGUCUUUAACCCCGGGCCGCAAAAAGGCCGAGGUUUUUGGCCAUUUUGGGCAUCGACCAAUGCCUCAUUCUGUAGUAGUGCGCGCCAACAAACAAAGCCAAAUGUACGAGGAGGAGCACGCAUAGUAGUCCUCUUUUGUGACAGGGACUGCAGCGCGCCAAGUGUCGGGCCGAAAAUUUUUUGCGUGCGCGUACGUCCCGAUCCGUCGUUUCCGUUGGUGGUAGCUCCAUCAUCGCCGCGGCGGAACACUUGUGGUGGCGCGCGCGCAGCCACCACGCACACCUUUGCCCUGCCUGCCUGCUUUUAAUUUCCCGAGUGGCAGCCAAAGUGCGCUCGAUGCCCUUCCCUUGGCAACGAAGCAAACGGAGGACUGCGGCUGCGGGCGCAGCAAAAUCACGUACGGAUCCAAACCCCAAGCAAAAGCGUGGGCGGCGCCACCGGACCCCCGGACCGGACCCGACGCGCGCGUCGCUUUUUCGGCAGCUGCGAGCGCCGGCCGCGCGCGCCGCCGAUCGUGCAUGUGGGAAUGCGUGGGAUGCGCCCGGCGCGUUUCGCAGCCAUCUGAUGGCUGAUGAUCGUGUCGACCGUUCGUUCACACGUACGUGCAUGCUUGUACACGGAUCAUGUGGGCGCACACGGUAGGCACGCAGGCACACGAACGUUCCUCGCGCGCGACCUCCUGCGUGCUAUGUAUCGUCCGGUCUCGUAUGAAAGUGCAUAUACACUCGCGCUAGUUAUAGUACACGCACGCUAUAAUUGCAAGUGGCAACUUGCAAGGCCCGCACCGAAUCCGUCUGUCGUCUAUAGUGCGUCCCAUUCGAUCGUCAGCUAAAAAAAAUGGUGGUGAAACAGAGCAGAGGAACCAAUGUGCAACGAAAGGCACAAAAAAAAAAGGUUGCCUUGAAAAUUUUUUGAAUUUCGGCAUUGUAUCAUUUUCGUUUUUAUUUCACAAAUAUUAUCUAAUUAUAAGCAUCUCCAACAGUUCCCUACUUCUCACUUGCCAAAUUGCGAGUUUUAGCAAGUUGCUAUAAUGAUUUACCAAGUUGAAAAAAGCUCAUCUCCAACAGUUCUCUAUUUCUCCUUGCCAAAUAAAAAAAAAAGAGGAGGCCCAUCUCGUUUAGUUUGUUGACCGGUACUUUGCCUGGCCGAUCGAUACCGCUUCAUCCAUCGCGCGAUCUCCUCUAUCGCGCACGAACACGGCGCCUUCCUCACGCCGCCGCUGGAACACGUCGCCGUGGUGGUGAAACAGGACAACGGCGCCCCAGCCCCCCCUGCCGCAGGUCAGCAUCUCUCCCUUGUAGCGCUAGGGUUUUUUUUGAUCUGUAUGCCCGUUUAUGUGAUCUAGGUAUUGAUGUUGAUCCUCUCUACUCGCGAUUAGAAAUCAUGCCUAGGAAAAGAUCCCGUGCUAGAAGAGUACUAGAGGAGUCAUCAUCCGAUGACGAUGAAUUGCUAAUAUUAUCGACUGCUCAACUUGUGCAAGCCGCCUUCUCCAAUGAAAAAGGAAAACACGGUGGCUCUGUGAAAGGUCAUAGAGUUCUUCACCGUGAUAGACAAGGCGGACACAACAGGAUGUUUCAAGAUUACUUAGCGGACAAUCCAACAUACACCGAUGAGAUGUUCCGUCGGAGGUUCUUGGUAUUACAACUUUUCAUUAAUUUGUUUUACAAGCUGAAAUCUUAUUGUAGUUAUGAACAUUUUUGUUUUGUUCUUCAGGUACAGGAUGUCUAGGGACCUUUUCAAGCGCAUAAUGAAAGCUGUGGAAGAGCAUGAUGAUUACUUUGUCCAGAAAAGAAAUGCGGCCAAUGUUCUUGGACUGAGUUCCUUCCAAAAAAAUCACUGCAGCAAUGCGUAUGCUUGCAUAUGGGGUUCCUGCUGAUGCGACAGACGAGUAUGUUCGCAUUGGCGAGAGUACUGCACUUGAGAGCCUGCGCAGAUUUGUUCGGGCAGUUAUUGAAGUUUUUGGUGAUGAAUACCUCAGGAGCCCUAAUGAAAAGGACAUAGCACGCUUACUUGCAUUGGGUGAGAAAAAGGGAUUUCCAGGCAUGAUAGGGUCCAUUGAUUGUAUGCAUUGGGCAUAGAAGAACUGCCCAUAUGACAAACAAGGUCAGUUCAAGGGGCAUUGCGACAAGCCCACUAUCAUUUUGGAGGCUGUUGCUUCAGAAGACCUUUGGAUAUGGCAUGCCUUCUUUGGAAUGCCCGGGUCUCACAAUGACAUCAACGUUCUUGAUAGAUCUCCCUUGUUUGAUAACUUGGCGGAAGGUAUUGCUCCAGAAGUGAAGUUUACCGUUAACGGCCAUGACUACACAAUGGGUUAUUACCUUGCAGAUGGUAUAUACCCCUCAUGGGCUACUCUCAUCAAGUCCAUCACUCUGCCUAUGGGGAACAAGAAGCAAUAUUUUGCCAAAGCACAAGAAGCCGCGAGAAAGAUGGUCGAGAGAUCUUUCGGUGUUCUUCAAUCAAGGUGGGCAAUUAUUCGAGGACCCGGACGCCCUUGGGACAGUGAGACUUUGGCACUGAUCAUGAGGGCUUGUAUCAUCAUGCACAACAUGAUCAUAGAAGAUGAAGGAUACGUGGUUGAUCCUCAGAAGCGUUUUGAUUAUGGUGGUGACAAUGUGGAGCCUGAACAUGGUAGAGCUCAUCGCACACUUGAAGAAUAUAUUGAAGCGCAUAGAAAGAUCAGAGACAAGGACACCCAUGUGCAGUUGAAGGAAGACCUCAUCGAACACCUGUGGAACAAUCAUCCAGAUUUAUAUUUGUACAAUAUAUGAUUUCCUAUUUUAUAUUGUUUAAGCACUUUAGUCUUAGCAAAUUUAUAUUGUUUCAAGCGCAAUGAACCCUCUAUAUUUUAUAGUCAAUUUUGUAUGAAAUAUUCAAGUGAAAACAUUUGUAUUAUUUCUAUUUUUAUAGUGCUUCUUGUCUGUGUGAAGGAUAUUAUGAAAACAUUGGCAGGUGAUGGCGACAAAGUGCUCACGUAUAUGAAAUACUAGAGCAUGGCCAAUUAACACAAAAGCAAAUAUUCGCCAAACAUAAUAAUUUGGUAGCUGGUACAAUAUGUAAACUGAAAUAGACUAAUUGUUCAUUGCAUAAAAAACUAAAUUGAUAGCAACUUGAUUUGGAAAAAAAGCAACUAAAUUUCAGCUUGAGUUCCAUAGCGCUUGGCAACAAUGUCCUCCUGCAUCAUCUUAAGCCAUUGAAGCUGCGCCGGGUUUAGGCCAUUGAAGCUCGCCAACAUAAUAUCUUUCUCUUGCUUUAGCAACUCGGCUUCAGCUCUCUUCUGCUCAGCUUCAGCUCUCUUUUGGUCAGCAUCAGCUCUCUUGAGUUCAGCUUCAGCCCUUGUCUUCUCCAGCGCUAGAUUUUCCUUGUCAACCUCAAGGGCAGCCACAAACCUCUCUUGUUUUGACUUUUCUUUUUCCUUAUCGGUCUCCUCCUUCUUUGCCCACAUCUUGUCGAUCGCCUCCGCGCAUACUUCCGCACCACCUCCCCGAAGAUUAGCUUUCACCUUCUUAAUUCCAUCUGACCUUUUCCUGGGCUGUGUUUCUGGCACAUCAGCAGCUGCGGCUGAUUUUUCAGAGCUGGUUUCUUCUUCAUCCCUUGGCCUGGACUCCUUUGAGGCCUUCUGAGUCUUUUUGUUUUUUUCCAGUUUCUCAAGCUCUGCGAUCUCUACCAUCUUGGCUGCCCACUUGUCUUCAUCCUUCAGUACGUUCCAACAAGGGAUAAGAGUGAAUUUCUUUUUGUCCUUGUCUUCCUCCAUGUACAACUUGCAUGCUGCAGACACCUGCACAACAAUGUACCAAUUUAUAUAUGAGUCACAAACAGAUUAAAAACAGAUUAAAAGCAGAUUAAAUUUUUUUUGGUAAAACAGAUUAAAAGCACGACAUAACCCUACCAUGUCUGUGACAGUGUGUCCACUUUGAUGCUUGCGUUUAAUCGCCUCAUAGCAUCCGCAAAAUUUGUUCACUUGAUGCUGAAUUGUGAACCACCGAUGCAUAAUGGAACUCUCUGUCCGCACAGUUUCAGUUUUUUUGUUUUGCUCAAAAUAAGCAUGAACUCGAUCCCAAAAAGUGUUACGAGUUUGGUUGGCCCCAUUGAGAGAAUCCUUGCUAGCGUUCAACCAGACGGAGCAAACAACUUCAUCUUCCUUGAAAUGAAAAUUCUUGGAACGCUUGGUAUGGUUCUUACUCUUGUUAGCACGACUUGUAGGCACGAUUUCAACAUCGGCAUCUGGACUAGACUGUGUACCUGUAGCUGGGGAGACUGGAAUGGCGAGGUCGUCCAAACCAACAACAUGUUCGGCUUGUCCAUUCAGGAGAAUGCCCCCUAAGAAAUUUUCUUCUUCCGUAUCCAUCAUUCUAAACAAGUGCAAUUUAUCAUCAGCAACAUACUAUGUGUACAAUCAUCAAAAACUUUGCAACCCCGACUACGUACCCCGACCAACAAUUUAUCAUCAUCAACGUACAAUAAUAGAGUAUCAUCAAGGAACAGCUAGUAACAUACUAUAUGUCCGAUCAUCAGCAAGGAAUAAACAACAAAGUACCCAUGAAUGUAUGCCGUAAAAUUCAGAGAAGUAUCCUAAAAUAUUUGCAUCAGAAUUAGACAACUAUCAUCAAUCUAUGCAACAAACAUACAGUACCAUCAAUCUAGACUAUCAUCUAUCACUACAUGCAGGAGGUUCACGCGAACAGAUCGAAUAAACACACGGCCAUGAACUGAUUCUAUCGCGAGAUCAAUUAAUCUACCAGCUGAACCCUAGCCUAUCGAUGAGAAAGGCAUGAACCUGAUCGCAAACCUGGAUGGCGGCGCAAAACUGAACCCUAGCCUAUCGCGAGAUCGAAGACAACGGGGAGAACCACGUACCUGAUCGCAAAACUAAAUGCCGGCGCAAGGAGGACGGGCGCGAUCCGCGAUCACUCGUCCGGUUCCCUAGUGGCGGCGCAAGGAGGACGAUCGAGAGGGAGGACGUGCGGGAGGGAAGAGUUUCAUGCGGGAAGGAAAAGUCCGACGCGCGCCAUCCACCCUCCGAGAACCGCGACGCUCGAUGGCAAGGAGAUGCGUGUGCGCAUUUUUACGCACCGGGAGGCUCUCGAUGGCAACUUGGCAAAAAUUGGCAAACUAAAUGGAGAACUGUUGGAGAUUGAAAUUUUGAUGUUUUGCCAAAUUUUAGAGGAUGGCAACCCAUAUAGGGAACUGUUAGAGAUGCUCUAACUAGGCUCAAAAGAUUCAUCUUAUGAUUUACAGGCAAACUGUGCAAUUAGUUUUUAUUUUCGUUUAUAUCUAAUGCUUCAUGCAUGUGCUCUAAGAUUUAAUGUGACGGAGAAUCUUGAAAAGUUUUGGGUUUCGGGGUGAACUAAACAAGGCAUAUAUUAGUAUCUUCUACAGUAGAUACCACUCCGUAAACAGUGGUCGAAUCAAAACCACUGUUGAGAUGCUUCAUGCAUGCUUCGGUUUCACAUAUAUAGACAUAUAUAGCCUGUUACGAAUUAGUAAUAUAAAUGUACUUUUACCGUUCCCAUAUAAAGCUCCUCCAUCCGUAAGAAAAUAAGGAAAAACAAAACAGAAUACCUUGCAGAAAAGAAAUAAACAGACAAGAAAAUAAAAAUCUACGAAUAACAUAUAUACCCUAUCUUCAAGGAAUUUGGCUCCAUCGAACCUGAUACCUCAGACAUUUCUCGAAACCACAACUUCACUCAUGAGCACACAAAUGGAAACAUUAUUUUUUUUUAUUAUUUCUCAUUUUUUUUUUCCAAAAUCACCUCACCGGGAAAUUGAUUCUUCUCAACAGAAGCAGAAGAGACCCAAAAAAUUUGCAACCCAUAUCACAUACCCGUGCCAGCUGUCACCAGUCACCACCAAGCCAGACCCGUUAGCCCGCGACUCCACCCGCGUUGCCCCUCUAUAAAUACCCGCGCCCUCCGCACCUUUCCCCACCACCAGCAGAGAUCUCGUGCUCGCCGCUAUCAAUUCGUUCCUUCUCCACAGCAACACAUCCGCCUUCUAGAACCUUCUCGCCGCCGCCGCCGCCGCCACCACCCGUCGAAGCGAAGCAAAGCAAUGGCCGGAGUCGGAUCGAAGGCCCUCGCCGUGGUCGCCGUCCUGGCGGCCGUCGCCCUGUCGGUGGCCAACGCGGCUGAUGCGCCCGCGCCCAGCCCCGUCUCCGCCGCCGGCGCCGCGUCGGCGCCCUUCGCCGCGGCACUCGUCGCCUCCGCCGCCUCCUUCCUCUUCGCCGCCGUCCGCCACUGAGCCGAUGGGGGCCUGAUGCCUCGUGCCUGCCCUGCCUACCUACCUAGCAGUACUUCCACCACCGCCGCCUUCGCCGCCUAGAUCUAUUUAUUAUUAUUGGAGUGUUAUUCAGUAGUAGUAGUAGUAGGGAGAGAUUUCUUCGUAGCUCUCGUGUCGUCGUCGCAUUUUGGUCGGAUCUGGUGUGUCCUUGGUGGAGGUUGGGUUUCUACCGUAUCGUGGUGUGUGUGUGUGUGUGUGUCGGUUGUGUGAUCUGAUGAUCCCCCCUUGUAGAUACUCUGCUUUCAUCUCGCCGUGAUCGUGAGUGGUGAUUCUGUCUGGUUGCUACUGAUAUAUUAUUAUUUCUUCUUAUUAUUAUUGGUCCCAUUUGAGACAUGUGUUGUUGCUGAUUUGUGUAUUAUUUCUUUCUCUGCGCUUGAUUUAUCGUUUACUCUGCUGCGUUCUGUGUAUUGUUCGCUCCGUCGCUGCGAAAUUUUGCGUCGCGGUUGGGAUCCGUGACGCGUUAGAUUUGUUUCUACUUCCGAUCCGCGUCGCGUUGCAUCGACGCAGGUUCUUUUUUGUUGUUGCCAGGAAGUAAAUUAAUUAAUUAUUACGAUCUGAAAGACUGACUGACUGGGCUUUAACGUGUCUUGGUCUGUGGUGUGUUUCGAUCUGGGUAGUUUUUUAUUUCUGAUGAGGAUUCUCAGUCAGGCAGGAGAAUGAACCUUGGGGCGUGUGUAGUUUAAUGCCCUUCCUCUGCUGACAAAAGAUUGAUUCGGCGUCUUGUUUAUGAAGGUCAGAAACUCAUGAAUAGUGGUGCCCAACCUUCAUCAGUUCCUUAAUAUUUUGCUCUGAAUGCAACAACGGCAGAAGUGGCAAAUCUCAGUGCGGAUUCAAAAUUCCUAGCAAACAAUGCCGGCAAAGUAAACAUGGACUGGCGAGCGACCAGGAGCAGCACAUGAUCGCUGUUGUUGAGGCAUGGAGCCAUAUGACCGCUCCUUUGGACGGUCCGGUCAGAG
rnacentral:lncRNA from 1 species